GACGUAGGGCGCGAGCGUUGUCCGGAUUUAUUGGGCGUAAAGAGCUCGUAGGCGGCUUGUCGCGUCGGCUGUGAAAACCCGCGGCUCAACUGUGGGCGGGCAGCUGAUACGGGCAGGCUGGAGUUCGGUAGGGGAGACUGGAAUUCCUGGUGUGAGCGGUGAAAUGCGCAGAUAUCGGGAAGAACACCCGUGGCGAAGGCGGCUCUCUGGGACGGUACUGACGCUGAGACGCGAAAGCGUGGGGAGCGAACAGG
rnacentral:rRNA from 1 species